UCCUCGAUAGCUCAGUUGGUUAGAGCAUCUGACUGUUAAUCAGAGGGUCGCUGGUUCAAGUCCAGCUCGAGGAGCAA
rnacentral:tRNA from 1 species